CUAUCAUGCAGUCGACGAACUCUGGUAUUGAUUGGUGCUUGCAUCAUGAUUUACAUUUGAGUGAGUGGCGAACUGGUGAGUAACACGUGGGAAACCUGCCCAGAAGCGGGGGAUAACACCUGGAAACAGAUGCUAAUACCGCAUAACAACUUGGACCGCAUGGUCCGAGCUUGAAAGAUGGCUUCGGCUAUCACUUUUGGAUGGUCCCGCGGCGUAUUAGCUAGAUGGUGGGGUAACGGCUCACCAUGGCAAUGAUACGUAGCCGACCUGAGAGGGUAAUCGGCCACAUUGGGACUGAGACACGGCCCAAACUCCUACGGGAGGCAGCAGUAGGGAAUCUUCCACAAUGGACGAAAGUCUGAUGGAGCAACGCCGCGUGAGUGAAGAAGGGUUUCGGCUCGUAAAACUCUGUUGUUAAAGAAGAACAUAUCUGAGAGUAACUGUUCAGGUAUUGACGGUAUUUAACCAGAAAGCCACGGCUAACUACGUGCCAGCAGCCGCGGUAAUACGUAGGUGGCAAGCGUUGUCCGGAUUUAUUGGGCGUAAAGCGAGCGCAGGCGGUUUUUUAAGUCUGAUGUGAAAGCCUUCGGCUCAACCGAAGAAGUGCAUCGGAAACUGGGAAACUUGAGUGCAGAAGAGGACAGUGGAACUCCAUGUGUAGCGGUGAAAUGCGUAGAUAUAUGGAAGAACACCAGUGGCGAAGGCGGCUGUCUGGUCUGUAACUGACGCUGAGGCUCGAAAGUAUGGGUAGCAAACAGGAUUAGAUACCCUGGUAGUCCAUACCGUAAACGAUGAAUGCUAAGUGUUGGAGGGUUUCCGCCCUUCAGUGCUGCAGCUAACGCAUUAAGCAUUCCGCCUGGGGAGUACGGCCGCAAGGCUGAAACUCAAAGGAAUUGACGGGGGCCCGCCAAGCGGUGGA
rnacentral:rRNA from 2 species